GCCUCUGAGGAUGAUGAAACGUCUACUGAUUUUUCUAUGCGGAAAAUGUAUGGAGACCUGAACUGAAGAGGA
rfam:Vigna angularis cultivar Jingnong 6 scaffold1091_2, whole genome shotgun sequence.